rnacentral:rRNA from 1 species
GGGCCCGCACAAGCGGUGGAGCAUGUGGUUUAAUUCGAUGAUACGCGAGGAACCUUACCAGGACUUAAAUGUAAGUUGCAUGAUUCAGAAAUGAAUCUUUCUUCGGACUACUUACAAGGUGCUGCAUGGUUGUCGUCAGCUCGUGCCGUGAGGUGUCAGGUUAAGUCCUAUAACGAGCGCAACCCCUAUCGUUAGUUGCCAUCAAGUAAAGUUGGGAACUCUAGCGAAACUGCCGGUGUAAACCGAGAGGAAGGUGGGGAUGACGUCAAAUCAUCACGGCCCUUACGUUCUGGGCUACACACGUGCUACAAUGGCCGGUACAGAAAGCAGCCACUAUGCGAAUAGGAGCUAAUCUUUAAAACCGGUCUCAGUUCGGAUCGGGGUCUGCAACUCGGCCCCGUGAAGCUGGAAUCGCUAGUAAUCGGAUAU